rnacentral:lncRNA from 1 species
AAUUCAUGUAUGUGUUAGUCCUGCAGAGUCUGCAAGACACUAUUUCCCUGGAGUCAUCCAUCACCUCUGACUCUUAAAAUCUUCCUACCUCCUUUUGUGCGUUGACUCUUGAGCCUUGGCGGGAGGACCUUGAUGAAGAUAUCCUACUUGGGAGUGAGCACCCCAAAGUAUUAUUGUCAGUUGUGGAUAUGUGUGUUAGUUCCUACCUGCACCAAGAAGCUAACCCGAUAAGGGAUGAGUGAGGCACUAAUCUCACUCAGGACAAUUUUUUAGAAUGUGCAAACUACUUAUAUUGUCCAGGCUUUCCAAAAUGCAAAUAAUGAAUUUACUGACUGAACUCAGUGAAUGUGGGAUUUACUUUGAGAAUCUCACACUUAAAAUUUAUAGAACAAGAAUACAUACUAAAAGACAUGCCUGGGGUUAUCAUUUAAAAUUACCACACUCCAUCCUCUGGAUCCCAGAAAGCGACAUUUCUAAACCACUUAACCUCCCCCCUUUAGGUGUUACAAUCAAGUUUGAGGUCUCAGACACCAUCAAUAACAUGUAUAGGUACCUGUAUUGAGGCUUUAGGUAUGACUUCUCGGUGUGUACAGCUUUCAAGCAUCGCUCCUCUCUAUUAACAAGUUUAAUUUUGUGAAUAAAGUUAUUGGUUAUUUGCCCUAUAAAUACCCAACAGACGAAGCUAGGCAGAAAAAGAAACUGCAAUUUGGGGAAAUGUAUGGCAUAGAUUAGUUGUGAAAUACAAGUAGAUACACUGCAGGCUUGUUGAUUAGAGUCUGUGAAGUAGUUCUUUGGUUUUGAACAUGCAGAAGUCCCGCAUCUCGCCUGCCUGACAAUCCUGGGGCUAUGAGGAGCUCUAUGUAGUAGGUGCUUUUCUCAAGUCCCAUAGUAGGUGCUUUUCUCAAGCCCACAAAGGCUCUUAUAUCGGAGGUCUUGAGACUAAAGACUCAGUGUUGUCAGUGGCUUCUAGCUCAUCUUCAUGCUAAUGUUUUAUCUCCUAUUUCAAGAAACCAUUAGUUACUGUGAGCACUCUGCCUACAAACACUCAGGGUUCGGGUACAAGCCAAUGGAUAAAUGUACUUGCAGUGUAAGUGAACGCACCGUAGAAAGGAGAGAAACAGCCCCUCUGUCCUCUGACAGUCUGUGUGGUCUGUACAUUCAUGCAUGUGCACAUGCGCACACACAAAAACUGACAGAACUUUUUUUUUUAAUGCAGAAGUAAUGUAUUGCACCAAGUCACCUGAGCACAUAGCUUUCUAUUUAAUAUUCUGAGGUAGAAACUUUUGAGUGUGUGAAAAGUGGGGCUGAUUCUAGUCCCUUCUUUUGUCUAACUGUGUUGGUUUUUGUUUUAUCUUGUUGCAUUUUAUUUUGUUAUCUCUAAGAAGCCUGUUCUUUUCUAAUGAGGGACAGACCAGGUUAACAGUUGCUAAAACUCCAUAAAGUUUUCAAAUCUAGAAACUUUGAAAUCUCUAGGCAGAUUAUAUUAUUUAUUGUCUGCUUAUUUCUUAUGGGGAUACAUUGGUUUAUUCCUAGAGAAUCUAUGAUUUUAUAUUUGGUAAAAUGUAAUUAAAAAUUAUUGACAUGUCUACAGUAUAGAUGUCUUUAAAUCUAGGAAAUUAUAUUGGCAGGUAUGGAUAAGAUGUAAAAAUAUUCUCCAGAAAAAUACUAUGUAUGAUUUUUAACACAUAAAUAUAGUCAAUAACAUUAAAGUAAUAUUCGUUACAAUUAGUAAUCAAAAUAAGAAUGAUUAUCUGACCAUAAUGUUGUUUAGAUACUUCUUGGUAUUCUUUAUUGCUGCCAUACAACCUUCUGUUGUAGUUGGCAUUACAGCCGUAGGUACCAGGGAGCCACCCUACCUAAUUCCUGGCAAAGGGAGUUCUCUUAACAUUGGGAAAGAACAGACAGUUCUAGACUUCAAGGUAAAAUUCUGAAUAUAGCUUACAACCAAAUACUAAUGAUUACAUAUUUUCUCUCAUACAUGAAACUGGCUUUAAAUGUUUAUAUAUGUGUAUGCAUGUGGGAGUAUGUGUAGGUAGUCAUGGAAACUAAAAGGAGGUUCAUG